AUUAGUUAUGUUCUUGAAACCCAAAGAAUUUGGCGGUAUUUUAAUCUUUUUAGAGGAACCUGUCCUGUAAUUGACAGUCCACGAUGGAUAAUCACUUAUUUUUGUAUUCAGUUUGUAUACCUCCGUCAUCAGAAUAUCUUUUUAGAGGUAAUAUUCAUUUAACAUGAAAUGAGUUAUGUCAGGUCAAGGUGCAAUUUAUGAAUAAGUAGAGAUGGGUUACAAUAAAUUUAUUUAUACGGAUUAAUAUUAUUAUUAUUUAUUAUUAUGAAGGUGGAUUUGAAAGUAAAAUUGUUUCCUUUUUAAUUUGACUUUAGUUCUAAAAUAUGCACACAUCGCCCGUCGCUCUUAUUUUAAAGUAAGAUAAGUCGUAACAUAGUAGAGGUACCGGAAGGUGUUUCUAGUU
rnacentral:rRNA from 1 species